GGAUGGAUAAGUCAGAUGUGAAAUUCCGAAACUCAAUUUCGGGACUGCAUUUGAAACUGUGUAUCUGGAGGAUUGACGGAGAAAACGGAAUUCCACGUGUAGCGGUGAAAUGCGUAGAUAUGUGGAAGAACACCUGUGGCGAAAGCGGUUUUCUAUUUUAUACCUGACGCUGAGGCGCGAGAGCAAGGGGAGCAAACAGGAUUAGAUACCCUGGUAGUCCUUGCCGUAAACGAUGUAUACUUGAUGUAGUGAGGCUCAACCCUGACUGUGUCGAAGCUAACGCGAGAAGUAUACCGCCUGAGGAGUACGCUCGCAAGGGUGAAACUCAAAAGGAAUUGACGGGGGCCCGCACAAGCAGUGGAGCAUGUGGUUUAAUUCGAUGCUACGCGAAGAACCUUACCCAGGCUCGAAAUGUAAUGGACGAUACCAGAGAUGGUAUUUUCCGAAAGGACCGUUAUAUAGGUGCUGCAUGGCUGUCGUCAGCUCGUGCCGUGAGGUGUUGGGUUAAGUCCCGCAACGAGCGCAACCCUUAUCAUUAGUUGCCAACACGAGAGGUGGGGACUCUAAUGAGACUGCCUAGGUUAACUAGGAGGAAGGUGAGGAUGACGUCAAGUCCGCAUGGCCUUUAUGUCUGGGGCUACACACGUGCUACAAUGGUCGGUACAGAAGGCAGCAAGACCGCAAGGUGGAGCAAAUCCGUAAAGCCGAUCACAGUUCAGAUUGUAGUCUGCAACUCGACUACAUGAAGUUGGAAUUGCUAGUAAU
rnacentral:rRNA from 1 species